GGUUGAUCACUUGAAAUGUAUUGGUGUCGUCUAGCUGACAGUCGCCGCGUAAGCAUUGUUAAUCAUCUUUAUUGAUGUUCCUUGCUAUUACAUGGACCAACGACAAUAAGCAUCUAUUAGUACGAUCCAAGCACAAACUCCAAAUACUUGUAUUUAACCAUCUUGAUCUCAGAUCAGGCAGGAUGACCCGCUGAACUUAA
rnacentral:misc_RNA from 1 species